GGGGCUGUGGCGUAAUUGGUAGCGCGUGGUAUGUUUUAUCAAGAGUCUUAAUCUUAAGGUUAUCCGUUCAAGUCGGGUCAGCCUCA
rnacentral:tRNA from 1 species